CUAAGAAUAUUCCGCAAUGGACGAAAGUCUGACGGAGCGACGCCGCGUGGAUGAAGAAGGCCGAAAGGUUGUAAAAUCCUUUUAUUGAUGAAGAAUAAGUGUGGUAGGGAAUGACCGCAUGAUGACAUUAGUCGGUGAAUAAGCCCCGGCUAACUACGUGCCAGCAGCCGCGGUAACACGUAGGGGGCAAGCGUUGUUCGGAAUUAUUGGGCGUAAAGGGCAUGUAGGCGGUUUGGUAAGCCUGAUGUGAAAUCCUGCAGCUUAACUGUAGAAUUGCAUUGGGUACUGCCAGACUUGAAUCACAGAGGGGAAACUAGAAUUUCAGGUGUAGGGGUGGAAUCUGUAGAUAUCUGAAAGAAUACCGGUGGCGAAGGCGGGUUUCUAGCUGAUGAUUGACGCUGAGGUGCGAAAGUGCGGGGAGCAAACAGG
rnacentral:rRNA from 2 species